rnacentral:rRNA from 1 species
UACGGGGGGGGCGAGCGUUGUCCGGAAUCACUGGGCGUAAAGGGCGCGUAGGUGGCGCCGCAAGUCAACGGUGAAAGCUCGACGCUUAACGUCGAGUCGGCCGUCGAGACUGCGGGGCUCGAGCACUGUAGAGGCUCAUGGAAUUCCGGGUGUAGCGGUGGAAUGCGUAGAGAUCCGGAAGAACACCGGUGGCGAAGGCGGUGAGCUGGGCAGUUGCUGACACUGAGGCGCGACAGCGUGGGGAGCAAACAGG